AUGAGAAUAGGUCCCAGUUCAAGCGGCCCUCCUUUCAUCAUCAUCUAUACCAGCUGCCACGCACGAUCCCAUAGGAAUGGCUAGUCUUUUAUUGUCCUACCCACCCCUACGACAUGGAGGCGCUUACCCUUCUCCAACAAGUGUUCCACCAUGUUGCGAUUGAUUACCGCUUUCCGUCUCAAUCCAUUCCAGACCAAGCCCCUUCUCUGA
rnacentral:rRNA from 1 species